GUUAGUGGCGCACGGGUGCGUAACGCGUGGGAAUCUGCCCCUUGCUUCGGAAUAACAGUUAGAAAUGACUGCUAAUACCGGAUGAUGACUUCGGUCCAAAGAUUUAUCGGCAAGGGAUGAGCCCGCGUAGGAUUAGGUAGUUGGUGGGGUAAAGGCCUACCAAGCCGACGAUCCUUAGCUGGUCUGAGAGGAUGAUCAGCCACACUGGGACUGAGACACGGCCCAGACUCCUACGGGAGGCAGCAGUGGGGAAUAUUGGACAAUGGGCGCAAGCCUGAUCCAGCAAUGCCGCGUGAGUGAUGAAGGCCUUAGGGUUGUAAAGCUCUUUUACCCGGGAUGAUAAUGACAGUACCGGGAGAAUAAACUCCGGCUAACUCCGUGCCAGCAGCCGCGGUAAUACGGAGGGAGCUAGCGUUGUUCGGAAUUACUGGGCGUAAAGCGCACGUAGGCGG
rnacentral:rRNA from 1 species